rnacentral:rRNA from 1 species
GAUGAACGCUGGCGGCGUGCCUAAUACAUGCAAGUCGAGCGAACAGAUGCGGCGCUUGCUCCUCUCACGUUAGCCGAGGGCGGGUGAGUAACACGUGGAUCACCUCCCUAUCAGACUGGGAUAACUUCGAGAAACCGGAUCUAAUACCGGAUAAUAUCUUGCACCGCAUGGUUCAAUAGUAAAAGACGGUUUUGCUGUCUCUUCUCGCUGGAUCCGCGCCGCAUUAGCUAGUUGGUAAGGUAACGGCCUACCAAGGCAACGAUGCGUAGCCGACCGGAGAGAGUGAUAGCCCACCCUGGAGCGUGAACGGCGACCAGGCGCCUACGGGAGGCAGCAGUAUGGAACGUGCCGCAAUGGGCGAAAACCUUGCGGAGUAACCGCAAGCGUGAGAUGAAGGUCUUCGGAGCGUAAUGCUCGGUUACUAGGGAAGAACAAAUGUGGAAGGAACUAUGCACGUCUUGACGGUACCUAAUCAGAAAGCCCCGGCUAACUACGUG